UAGGCGGGCAAUUAGUACAAGGAGGCGGUGCAAACGGCUCAAGGAUACAAAGGUGGAUGCGCAGGAUGAAGCCACGGUGUCUCGCUGGUGCAAGAGGAGGAGGCGGGGGCGACCACUACACUAGCAACCUCGUCGGCGCAAGAGUAACAGUACACAUCGAAAAGGUAAAUACUAACCCUGUCUCUUCACGUCUUUAUCUCUUAGCCAUGUAUCCCUUUCUAAUUCAGUUCCCUCCUUUUCAUCUUUUUCAGCGCCUAGGUAGGACGGUAAUGUCGAGGAUGCAAGGAGGAAGAGGAUAUGUGUGCCGCUCUUUCUUACCAUGACUGUAUUCUUGGUUGAUUUACAUAUAUGUAUGUGCUCGUAUUUCCGCUGGUGAAAGCAAUAGUGUGAAGGCAAACUAUUUUACACUAUUCACUUAUAAUGAAACUCUUUGCCGAUAUCAUGUAAAGACGUUUUUCAUGACAAAUUUAUCAUAUUGUAUGAUUUUAUUUUUUAUCAUCACAACUAUAAUUUGUUUGUACUAUAUCUUACAGGUAUUUAUACAUCCUAAACCUACUUCAUCUGGCAUCAAUUGUCAUGAUACAAUUUGCAAGGCUGUAUGGGCAAUCAUGUUUAGGUGGGCGUCUUCCUGCAUAUGAUGGAAAUAAAAGCUUAUAUACAUCUUGUCCAUUUCCAUUUACUUAUGAGGCUUUUGAAUUAGUACUACUUGAUCAGGAAGACAGUCUUCAUGGUGGGCAAGUCAGAGAUGUAUGAUAUUCUGGGCAUAUCAAUAACCCUGUUCUAAUUAAUUGCUUACUGAUGUUGAUGCUCUCUGAAGGCGUGAGAUAAAAUUUUGGACCAUGAUAACAUUGGAUAAAGUUUUGUCGGGACGAAUUGAUAGUGAAGAAAUCUCUCAAGCAGUUAACACUGAACGUUCUUUCCAAAAACCAAAUUAAUCUCUUCU
rnacentral:lncRNA from 1 species